CACACUCACACACACACUCACACUCACACACACACACACACUCACACACACACUCACACACACACUGGUUUUCAUGUGGCUGUUUUCUUGCUACUAUGAGGUAUAUUCCAGAAAGCAGGUUUAGUGAAAACCAUAUAUUGACGCCAUUUGAAAUGUUUUCUGUACGGUUUGUGUUGUCAUUAGUUGCACUAAAGAUGUGUUUUGUUAAAUAGCCAAUGUUAGAUGUUCCUUACCCAACUAAAAGAUAUGUUGCGAUCAAUUCAUCGAUUCAUCAUGGUGUUUCUGUGACACUAACCAGGGGCUGUACCUGUGGGAUUUUUAGCAUUUUUUGUGGAAUUUUCAUGGUUCCUCAUACAGUAUAAAUUACUAUUUAUAUUUUGGAUGCUUAGAUAAAAUGGUGCUACAUAGAAUAAAAUAGGGAGAGAUUUUCUGACACAGCCUUAGACUUUUUCUGUCUUCAUGGACACCUCAUUUAUGGAGAUCUUUUAAUCAACAGUAGUCUUUGUAUUUGAGGAUUUUAGCACUAACAUUUGACGUUUGUUGUCUUUCACAGGUGAAAGUCCCACAUCGACUUCUGCUCGUGUCCCACAGAGGGGAAGGAAACAAGGCAGGGAGGUGGAUUAGGAUGGAGGUUCUGAACCCCGUGAGGAUUGGAGUUCAGAUAUAGAUGAUCAGAGCACAGGACCAAACCUGGCUAAAAGACUCCCACAGAAGAAAAGAGGAAAAAAGAAGGCGUUGGUGAAAGAAAGAAAAGGACCCAAAGUACAGUUGAAGAGGCCUUGGAGUGAAGCAAAGAGGAGUGCUUUCAACAAACAGUUGGGAAAGUUUAUGGCAGAGCGGCGAGUUCCAGGUAAAGAGGACUGCGUCAAAUGCAUAACACAAGAGAAAUCCUUGGAUCAAAGAUCCUGGAAGGAUUUUAAAAACUUUGUGUAUAACACAAUUGUGACUCGAAGAGUCAGCGUCACGGAAACUUCAGUUCUGAAGACUUCAUUUUGCAUUAUAAUUUCUGUGUUUUACUUUUAAUGUCUGGUUGAGCCAGUAGUUGGCAUGUUUGAACAUUGUUAGUUUUCUAAUGCCGUUUGGUUAACAGUGGUGGAAUGUAACUAUGCACAUAUGUUCAAG